rnacentral:lncRNA from 10 species
CUUUUUUCGCAGGAGCUGCCCUACACUUUGCACAGACCUGGGCUCUUCCCAGAUUACCUCAUCAACAUCUUUACAAGCCAACUCAGAGAGUGCAGCAACCCUGUAGAUGGACUGCUUCACCCAGUGCUGCUGGUUCUUAUGGCUGUCACUCCCAAUGGGUAGUUUUAUUGCCAAAUUCCAUCAUAAGCAGUACUACCCAUACCCUGACCAAAGAAGGAAAGGGGAAUUAACACGACCACCUGCCUACUGAAUGCCAGGCGCUGUGCUAAAUGUGAGUUAUGGAGGCUGAGAAGUGCAAGUUCAAGAGGCCAGAUCUGGCGAGGGCCUUCCUGUUGGUCCAGUCUAAUUCCCCUCCCCAGGAAGAGGGAUGAGCCUUUGUGGCUGCCUCCAUAAAUGAAAAUGCGAUGGAAAGGAUGCUGCACGACUUAUGAGGCUAAGUCAUAAGAAGAACUAAAGCUUCUACCCAUUUCCACUUCCUUUUGGGAAACGUGUCUUGGGAGCCCUGAGCCAAUAUGUAAGAAGUCCAGCUAUGUAUAGCCACCAUGCUGCAGAAACCACACAGAGAUAAAGAUUCGUGAGGAGUCUCCCCAUUUCCAGUUCCCAGCUGCUUGAGUCCUCCCACCUCCCAGAAUGAACUGUCAGACAUGUGAGUAGAAAUGACUCCAGACCCAGCCUUCAAGCUGUUGUCCCAGCUGACACCAAGUAGAGCAAAGGAGUUGUCUCCAUCAGUCUAGCUCAUAUUGCAGAUUUGUGAGAAAAAAACAAAUGUUGCUGCGUUAAGCCAGUAAAUGCUAGGAUAAUUUGUUAUAUGACAAUGACAAGAGUAACCAGGACACCACCCUUGUGUUAUCAUUACGUUCUCCCCUUGCUUCUUGUGAUGCCCUUGCUUUUCUUCUCUACCAGUUGCUGAGAAUUAGAGGAAGACCUUUGCUCCCACCAAUGUCAACAUUUCUUUACCAGAAAACACAGAGGCAUUUAACUCAUAUUUCGAAGACUUACAGCUUCUUAUAAUGGCCCUGGUGGUUAUACUUUUUGUUCUACUGACUCUAUUUUGUUACAGUUACUCUGCCCACAAAGUGCAAGACCCUUUGUGAUUAUGUUGGGGGACAUCAAUUCAAAUGACACCGUGAUAGCAUUACUGUCAAAUCAUGCUUCCCUCUCAAUGCUGUUGAUGAAGCUGGUGUACCCCAACCCUGUUCUUACAGGUUAAGUUGCUUUUUCCCACUUGAAACAUUGUACAACAGCCAAAAGCUUAUCUGGUCAGUUUUAAUGCGUCCUGCCCCUUCCUAGGACUUAUUGCAAUGACAAACAUAUAAGAGCUGUGAAAACUCUGUGACUUACACACAGUAGGCACCUGGUGUUUUAAGUGCUCUUCCUGAAAUGCUCACUGACAAUAAAACUAUUGAACAGAUCAGGACUGAAAACAUAGCUUUGUUUUGUGCCAGCAAAGACUCUCUUCUCUCCUUUACAGGUUGACAUUGAGCCAUUAAUCAACAGUAUGUUCAACAGUAACUAGUGAGUUAUGAAUCCAACUAUGUGCCUCUAUUU